CAUUUUGAAGCGGCAUCUGUUCUGAAAGACCAGAACGAGUAUGCAGUGCAUGGACUGUGAUGUUGUCAUGGCGUCUGCUGGAAUGAGGCCUAGGCUUGUUAACUUCAAGGAUGCUUACAAGUGAAAUUGUGCACCUUUUGCAGUGGAUUUAUUUUUAUGGUGGAACUACUUGUCCUGAGGAAGUGCAGUCAAUUGUUUUCUAGUAAUGUAAGCCAUCAAACUUGACAAGACCUAAAGGGCCGGAGUUGUGUAGAGGAGCAUUGUGCUGUUAAAAAUGGAAUGGGUUUAACUCCCUAACAGGUGGCACACAUUAAGUUGGCUGAGCAGAUGAAAGUACUGCAACAGAUUUGUACCCCUCCGGAAGUUCUGCACCAUUGAAUAUGGCAAGGUUUUCCAUGAUCGAGCAAUUUACUGUUCCAUAUUUCCCUAGAGGUUGACUUGAUAGAUCUUUACAGAAAAGGUUGCUGAACCAUGUACUAUUCUUCUGAAUUUUCCUAGAGGUUGACUUAACUAGAUGCUGCUGUAUCUUUACAGAAAAGGUUGCUGCAUUCAGAUCUUUGAAGUUCAGUCCUUUUAUCUCUACUGCCAAUAUUUGAGCUACACUGUACAAAACUACCCUUAACCGCAUUAGACCAUGUUAAAUUGGCUAAAAUUAAUGGGCAUUUUGCCAUUGCUACUGUAAGAACUUGUAAGACAAUAAAGCUGUUGGUCUAAACUUCCCAUAAGAUCAGCCUUUCCUUGGCUGUGGUGUUUUACCAGUUUAUUGAUGUACAUGGCCUUUUGUUUUCAAUUGUUUACAUUCAGCAUGUGUUAAGUAUAGCUUUAAGUAAUCUGUUCAACUAAUACACUAUUUUAAAGAUCUAAGGUGGCAGAUUCCUUCAGAUAAAGCAUUGACCCAUCUAAAUUUCUUUUCAGAAGAGUUAAUUUGUGCACAGAUAUACAACACUGCAAGUCUGUACUUUUUUGUUAUAGCAGUGUAGAUUUUGAUCCAGCAAUGAUAUGUGUCUUGGCUAAAUCCAUGGUAAUUCUUUGCCCAAAAACAUGUGAACUAGAAUAUAAAGCCUUUGUCCAUUGUUACAUUUAAACACUUUUUUUUUUUUUUGGACAAACUAGAGUCUAACAUGCCCUUCUAUAAAAUGCAUUUUAGUAGUGGGUCUGGAACAGAAGUAUAACUGUUUUAUGAAUAAACCUGUCUUGGUCUUAAAGCACAUGAG